UACGUAGGGAGCGAGCGUUGUCCGGAUUCAUUGGGCGUAAAGAGCUCGUAGGCGGCUUGGUAAGUCGGAUGUGAAACCUCCAGGCUCAACCUGGAGUCGCCAUCCGAUACUGCUAUGGCUAGAGUCCGGUAGGGGCCCACGGAAUUCCUGGUGUAGCGGUGAAAUGCGCAGAGUAUCAGGAGGAACACCGAUGGCGAAGGCAGUGGGCUGGGCCACAUCUGACGCUGAGGCGCGAAAGCGUGGGUAGCAAACAGG
rnacentral:rRNA from 1 species